CCUACGGGAGGCAGCAGUGGGGAAUAUUGGACAAUGGGCGAAAGCCUGAUCCAGCCAUGCCGCGUGUGUGAAGAAGGCCUUCGGGUUGUAAAGCACUUUCAGUGGGGAAGAAAGCCUUGGGGCUAAUACCCUCGAGGAAGGACAUCACCCACAGAAGAAGCACCGGCUAACUCCGUGCCAGCAGCCGCGGUAAUACGGAGGGUGCGAGCAUUAAUCGGAAUUACUGGGCGUAAAGCGCGCGUAGGCGGUCUGAUAAGCCGGUUGUGAAAGCCCCGGGCUCAACCUGGGAACGGCAUCCGGAACUGUCAGGCUAGAGUGCAGGAGAGGAAGGUAGAAUUCCCGGUGUAGCGGUGAAAUGCGUAGAGAUCGGGAGGAAUACCAGUGGCGAAGGCGGCCUUCUGGACUGACACUGACGCUGAGGUGCGAAAGCGUGGGUAGCAAACAGGAUUAGAUACCCGAGUAGUC
rnacentral:rRNA from 1 species